rnacentral:rRNA from 1 species
GACGAACGCUGGCGGCGUGCUUAACACAUGCAAGUCGAACGGAAAGGCCCUGCUUUUGUGGGGUGCUCGAGUGGCGAACGGGUGAGUAACACGUGAGUAACCUGCCCUUGACUUUGGGAUAACUUCAGGAAGCUGGGGCUAAUACCGGAUAGGAGCUCCUGCUGCAUGGUGGGGGUUGGAAAGUUUCGGCGGUUGGGGAUGGACUCGCGGCUUAUCAGCUUGUUGGUGGGGUAGUGGCUUACCAAGGCUUUGACGGGUAGCCGGCCUGAGAGGGUGACCGGCCACAUUGGGACUGAGAUAGGGCCCAGACUCCUACGGGAGGCAGCAGUGGGGAAUAUUGCACAAUGGGCGGAAGCCUGAGGCAGCAACGCCGCGUGCGGGAUGACGGCCUUCGGGUUGUAAACCGCUUUCGCCUGUGACGAAGCGUGAGUGACGGUAAUGGGUAAAGAAGCACCGGCUAACUACGUG